GGAAGAACGCAGCGAAAUGCGAUAAGUAAUGUGAAUUGCAGAAUUCAGUGAAUCAUCGAAUCUUUGAACGCACAUUGCGCCCGCCAGUAUUCUGGCGGGCAUGCCUGUUCGAGCGUCAUUUCAACCAUCAAGCCCCCGGCUUGUGUUGGGGACCUGCGGCUGCCGCAGGCCCUGAAAAGCAGUGGCGGGCUCGCUGUCACACCGAGCGUAGUAGCAUACAUCUCGCUCUGGGCGUGCUGCGGGUUCCGGCCGUUAAACCACCUUCAUAACCCAAGGUUGACCUCGGAUCAGGUAGGAAGACCCGCUGAACUUAAGCAUAUCAAUAAGCGGAGGA
rnacentral:misc_RNA from 1 species